ensembl:scaRNA
AGUUGAAUUAUACAAAUAUGUAAUUAAACUGUCCCACCUGCCUCUCUUCCACCAGGCUCGAGUAAUGCUAUGAUAGGCAAAAGGCAGUGCCACACACCUGUGUUCCCUGAUGAGUCCAGGGAGGACGUUCUGGUUGGCAUCCAACAACUUAGUCACAAAGGGGUUCAUAGCUGUGGUAUGACAGGUUAUCAUGGCCCUGGGCAGACAUGGCCACAGCAAAAGCU